UGGGGAAUAUUGCACAAUGGGCGCAAGCCUGAUGCAGCCAUGCCGCGUGUAUGAAGAAGGCCUUCGGGUUGUAAAGUACUUUCAGCGGGGAGGAAGGGAGUAAAGUUAAUACCUUUGCUCAUUGACGUUACCCGCAGAAGAAGCACCGGCUAACUCCGUGCCAGCAGCCGCGGUAAUACGGAGGGUGCAAGCGUUAAUCGGAAUUACUGGGCGUAAAGCGCACGCAGGCGGUUUGUUAAGUCAGAUGUGAAAUCCCCGGGCUCAACCUGGGAACUGCAUCUGAUACUGGCAAGCUUGAGUCUCGUAGAGGGGGGUAGAAUUCCAGGUGUAGCGGUGAAAUGCGUAGAGAUCUGGAGGAAUACCGGAGGCGAAGGCGGCCCCCUGGACGAAGACUGACGCUCAGGUGCGAAAGCGUGGGGAGCAAACAGG
rnacentral:rRNA from 2 species